rnacentral:rRNA from 2 species
GUAACACGUGGGAAACCUGCCCAGAAGCGGGGGAUAACACCUGGAAACAGAUGCUAAUACCGCAUAACAACUUGGACCGCAUGGUCCGAGCUUGAAAGAUGGCUUUGGCUAUCACUUUUGGAUGGUCCCGCGGCGUAUUAGCUAGAUGGUGGGGUAACGGCUCACCAUGGCAAUGAUACGUAGCCGACCUGAGAGGGUAAUCGGCCACAUUGGGACUGAGACACGGCCCAAACUCCUACGGGAGGCAGCAGUAGGGAAUCUUCCACAAUGGACGAAAGUCUGAUGGAGCAACGCCGCGUGAGUGAAGAAGGGUUUCGGCUCGUAAAACUCUGUUGUUAAAGAAGAACAUAUCUGAGAGUAACUGUUCAGGUAUUGACGGUAUUUAACCAGAAAGCCACGGCUAACUACGUGCCAGCAGCCGCGGUAAUACGUAGGUGGCAAGCGUUGUCCGGAUUUAUUGGGCGUAAAGCGAGCGCAGGCGGUUUUUUAAGUCUGAUGUGAAAGCCUUCGGCUCAACCGAAGAAGUGCAUCGGAAACUGGGAAACUUGAGUGCAGAAGAGGACAGUGGAACUCCAUGUGUAGCGGUGAAAUGCGUAGAUAUAUGGAAGAACACCAGUGGCGAAGGCGGCUGUCUGGUCUGUAACUGACGCUGAGGCUCGAAAGUAUGGGUAGCAAACAGGAUUAGAUACCCUGGUAGUCCAUACCGUAAACGAUGAAUGCUAAUUGUUGGAGGGUUUCCGCCCUUCAGUGCUGCAGCUAACGCAUUAAGCAUUCCGCCUGGGGAGUACGGCCGCAAGGCUGAAACUCAAA